rnacentral:lncRNA from 1 species
AAAUGUUUUAAGACCUUGUCUCAAGAAGGGAUUAAAGGUUCUCUUAAUUUGUCUAUUUCAUAUUCUAGAUAUAACAUUAAAAUGUGUCAACUAGUUUAUAUUGACCCAAAGGAUUAUAUACCAAAGUUUAUAGACUGAAAUUUAUAUGAAAAACUGAGAUUAAUUUCAAGAUUAAAACACCUUACCUAACUUUUGCCAAGAGACCCAUUGUUACAAAAAUUAAGAGGGUACAUAUAAAAAUCUCACAAAAUUCUACUGUCCGUAGAGAACUACGGUUAAUAUUUAGUACUUAGCCUUCUAAACUCUUCUCUAU